GCUGUAGCUCAGUGGUAGAGUCCUUGCCUAGCAUGCAUGAAGCCCUAGGUUCGAUCCUAGUACUGCA
rnacentral:tRNA from 1 species